rnacentral:lncRNA from 1 species
GGUGAGUCUAUACCUAGGGUUGGUAUGAAUGAUAUUAUCAGUUAAUCUGGUGUUUUAAUUCAGAGUUUUAAACAGUUCCACACUGGGACAUACAUACAUUUUUGUCCAUGUAAAGAUUCAAUCAACAAGAGCUAACAUUGUCUUGCUAUUCAAAUAAGCUUUGGCAUGUCAGACUGGGUUAUAACUAUGUCCUCUUUGUGAAUAAUUCAGAAAAGAAGAAACCAUUAGUGGGAUUUUGGUUGUAUCUGCCUUAGCUUAAAUUCUUAAAUUCUACGUGGUUGAGAAAAAUCAAGAUCCACUGAGUUUUAUAUGUCAUGGCUUGAUAUUCGUAAAACAAAUAUUGCCUCUGUGCAUGCGAGUUUGGAGAGUGAUGGGGGAAAAGCCUUAGGUUGUGAGCGUGAAGAUGCGGGGGUCUGCAUUAAGGAGAGAAGGAGCAAUCACAUCACGUGGAAAACAUCACUCUGCGUAAGAAAUUUGUAUUUCUGUGAUUUUAGAAAGCCCACAGUUAGCUGCAGUCCGCUCCCUCUUCUCCAAUUGGCACCGACCUAUUAUGAGCUUGCUGUCACUACCCACAUCCUUUUUUAUUUAGCAUAUUGACUCCUCUAAGAGUCAGCUGGGAGUAACGAGCUGCUUUGAUGCCAGCAGCCUCUUCACUACCCAAAGGCUUGGGAUGUGCCCUUUGCUCCUGUGUCUUUGAGAUUCUAAGUUUGGGGAGAAUUCUUCUUGAUUCCCUCUGCGCAUAUUUUCUCUUCCCGAAGGCUAGGCUGUGGAUUUACAGCACCUUCCCAGUUUUUAGCACUGAAAGAUUUUUAUUCACCUCUCUGAAUAUUUCUUUGGUUAUUAAUGUAGAAAAUUGGCAUGUGGGUAGGUUAAAAACAUGGAUUCAAACCAUAAGUGCAAAGUCAGUGAUCCAAGUUUUAUAUUGUUUAAGGAAGACUUUCCAUAUAGGAUUAAAGAAAUACCCACGAUAAUCUCCAAACUAUUAUGCAUGUUCAUACUUAGAUCAAUGAGGAGAAAAUUUUGUAUUUAAAAAUUUUUUUUCUGUAGUUAAGCCUACUCUUAUCUUUAAUAUAAGCAAUGAUUUUUUAAGGAAUCAUGUUGUUGAAGGUAAGUUUUUGAUUUAAUAUGCUACUAAAACUUGCUAGGUGGACAAAAAUCAUUAUGUCCUCCAAUGUGACUUCCAGAAAUUAAACAACAGUCAAUGAUUAGUAGGAUUCUCUGAGGUCCUGAGAAUUUAUUACAGCUAGGAAUUAGAAGCCCAUAUUUUAGUUUCUCCUUUAGGUAGAAACCAAGUCAAAUUCUAAGAAACAUUAAUCGUUUGCUCAUAAGUGAAGGGGAACAUUUGAGUUCAUCACUGGGCUUCCAGAAAACCAUCAUGAUUGUUAUUAACUAUAAACGAUGAAGUUAAACUGAAUUAUUUCUUCAGGAAAGUUCAAUUUUCUACUUGAACAUGCAUCAAGUUUCCAUUUGCUUAAUUUCUAUAGUAAUUAUUGGCAGUCCCAAUAGUUGGCAUUUACUCAAAAGCUGCCUUAUAUUUUCCUUUAGCUUCAGGCUUAUGUGACUCAGGUAAUAGAAGAGCCGUCUUCCUAGCAAAGUCCACAUUUCAUCCAUCUUUUGUUCCUUCCACAUUGCUUACCAUAAUGUAGCCAUGUAGUGGAUCUUCAGGCUCCAUUUCCUGUAAAAUGAAUAAGGGAAAAUGGGAUUGUAGAGGAUCCUGGAUAUUGUGUCGGAGUAUUUGCACUUCAUUGCAUGAGCCAUGGAAAGUGAGGACAGUGUUUCGAGAGGACGCACAGUAAAAGCAGCAUUUGGGAAAACUUUUCUUGUAGUUGUGGUUAGGAUGGACUAGGAGUGAUAGAUCAUGGAAGGAACAGCACCAGUUUGGAGGCUGCUGCAUGAAAAGAACUACUUCUGUGGGCACUUGGACCCAAGCUAACCAAAAUCCUCAUUGCUUCUCUAUUAUUCUGAUUCUCUGAGUUUUGUCCUUAUUUAUUUUUCUCUAUAUCUUCAGUGUCUUCUUCUGGUAGCCCCUCUCCUCUACGUGUUGGAGCCUUCCAAUGCAUGAAUGACUGUAAUGCCUCGAUGAAGUACCACCUCUUUUGCUAAGACUUUUCUGACUUCUUUUGUUGGUGGUUUUCGUUCUUGUCUCUGAAACUCCCAGCACUUCAUUUCUAAAGAGAACAUGACAUGUGUGCCCCUUUGAGCAUCUGAGUUUCAAGGAGUUAAGUCACUCACAUCCCUCAGUUACUGGCACACUCAUUAUCAUGGUGGGCAAGGCUACUCAUAUUGUAUUUGUUUUGUUUUCUUUCUCCCCUUCACUCUGGGUUCCUCUCUGGAUCUUGUUUGCACAAUUUUGGGCAAAAUCGAUUACGCAGGAGCUAAUAAACAGUUUGGUCUUGAAAUCCUGCUCUUAAGAGGGGUGAUUGGGAGUUUCAGAGAAAUCCAUUCCAUUUGUUUAUAGAGUCUGUGAAAAUCCUGAGAUCUAGCAGUGGAGCCUGUGGGACAUGCUAAAUGUGCGCAGUGUCUGCCUGUGCCCUUCCACUGGCGUCUCCGCCUUCUUUAGGACCUGUCUGCAGCAUCUCCGCAUCACAGUUCCUCGGAGGGCACUGAUGAGUCCUGUGAGUCACACAGGACACGCGUCGGGGAGGGGAGGAGCAGCGCUCUCUAAAAUGCUGCUGAGCCUCAAAGAAGAAACUGGUGGACUCUCUGAACUCGUGCUGAUUCAGCCGGACAGUCUCUACUCGCCACUCUGUAUGGGAACCUUGCCUCUGCUCCAGGAAAUGCCUAAGUUCACGGGUAGUAAGUGGUAGUGGUGAUGGAGUUAAUCAACUAGGUACUAUCUGGAAAUAUACAUUCUAAAGGGCUAACUACCCACCUGAUCCUCUAGAUAAACGGUGUCUUCGGAUGUCCCUGGGCUUCAUACAAGGAAUUCUGUCCUCUGCAGUUCAAAUAAGAUGAAUAUAAAUGUCUUCCCUGCUCAUUCACUCUCGUUGCUGUUCCUUGCUGGCCUUAGGUUUCACCUGGCAAAAGGUCAAAGGCCCUAGUUUAUUUCGAGUUCCAAACCUACACUUGGAAUUGGAAUUGGUGUAAAGUACGCCAAUUUCUAGGAAUUUUCCUCAGAGAAGAAAACAGUUGGCUCCUUCCUGGGAUCAUACACUAACGUAAUUCCGGUAUUCAGGACCUGGGGAGCAGUUCCUUCAGUUCAAUCCCCACACACGAGUUUUCCAGGCUGAGGACAGCUGGUAGGGGGCCGUCCAUCCUUCAAAGUCUCUGAAGGUUAUCUGUAUGGAUCAUAAGGAGGAAAAUGUCCACUUACGAUUCAGCAGUUUUGCUAUUUUAAUCCCUGCCAUAAGAGUCAGUGAUAGCCAGAGGGAUAUAAACAGAUCAGUAUAUAAAUAAAUAACCCCUCCUUUUGUGUUUACUCAUUCACCAAGCCUUUAUUGGCGCUUGUUGUAAUCAAAGCAUUGUCCUGCGUACUCUGGGAAAGCAGUCGCUAACCCUGCUCUUCAAACAUCAAGGGGCGACAGUCUCGUGGAGACAGAGAGAGACGAGCAAACAGCUAAGUACAAAGCAGAAUAUGAUAAAUCAUGUAACUGAGAAAGAAGCAGCAAAAAAUGAACAGAGAAUUAAUUCCAGCUUGGGAAAACUUAUGAAAGAGGUAAUUUUGAGCUCAGCCUUGAGAGAUAGUUGGUGGAGAAGAAUUAUAGACAAUAUAUAAAGCUGAAAGGAAAAAUUCAUGAGCAAAAGCGUGGAGGUGUGGAAGUCCACAAUGGUUAGGUUCUGGAAGAUUAGCUGAUGACGUGGAAAGGGAAGAACGUGAGGAGAUACUGAUAUCGGAGAAAGCAGAUGGAACUUGUGUGUGGUGAUUCCCACAUGCUGUCAUGAGGAUUUGGGACUUGUCCUCAGGCCAUAAAAACUUUUUGAAAGGUUUUGAAGAAGGAGUGACAUGUUCUGACUUGUGUAAUGAGAAUGACUGUCCUAAAUAUUAAUAUAGCAGGGGGUGAGAUUGGUCAUGAGGCUAUCACCCACUGUAAACAAGAGAGGCUGAGAUUCAAAGGGAGCGUGAAUAAGUCCACUUCUUCCCCUAAGAUAGAAAGAAUUGAGUCGAGGAUCAGUCGAGAGAAGGAGUAAUAUGGAGGGCAUAUGAAGGACUCACUUUAGGUUCCCUCAUCCUUCUUAAUGAAGUAGCCAGCAAGGAAAACAGCUAAGAGCCCCCCGGUACAUAGUUGUGUAUUCUUCGUUGUGGGUUCUUCUAGUUGUGGCACGUGGGACGCUGCCUCAGCGUGGUCUGACAAGCAGUGCCAUGUCCGUGCCCAGGAUUCGAACUGACGAAACACUGGGCCGCCUGCAGCGGAGCGCGCGAACUUAACCACUGGGCCAUGGGGCCAGCCCCAAGGGUGAGUUUAUUUUUUAUUUUUAUCUUUUUUAUUUUUAUCUUUUGGUGAGGAAGAUUGUCCCUGAGCUAACAUUUGUGCUAGUUUUCUCUAUUUUGUAUGUGGGAGGCUGCCACAGCAUGGCUUGAUGAGCAGUGUGUAGGUCUACACUCAGUACCCAAACCCGCAAACCCCAGGCUGCCAAAGCAGAGCACAUGAACUAAACCACUAUACCAUCGGGCCAGCCUCUCAAGUGUGAUUUUAAAAACUUCUGUUAAGGGGCCGGCCUGGUUGCUGAGUGGUUAGGGAUGCACGUUCUGCUUUGGCGGCCCAGGGUUGCACCGGUUUGGAUCCUGGGCGUGGAGCUAGUGCCACUCAUCAGGCCAUGCUGAGGUGGCAUCCCACGUGUCACAACUAGAAGGACCCACAACUGAAAAUAUACAACUAUUUACCGGGGGCCUUUGGAGAGAAGAAGGAAAAAUAAAAUCUUAAGGAAGAAAAAAACAACAAACUUCUGUUAAGACAAUAAGCCAGCUAACCUGCUGAGCGCCUAGGUCUCAGACUUUCUUGCCCCUCUAAAGACCCAAUAUUGUAGAUCUCUUUUUGAAGACACUUGACAAAUUAUCAGGCUAUAGCAAGACUAUUCAACUUCCCAUAAGAAUUUCUUUGUAGCCUCUGCUGCAGCAAAUCACCCUUCUUUAUUUCCAAUAAAACAUUUGAAGACAGAAAUCAUAUUCAAAUGUAAUCAUGACAGCAUCGUACCGUUUCUAUACAGGGUCCUGAGUCAUCCUGCGGUAAAUAUUAACCAAUGAGCCAUCAGCGGUUUGAUCUAGUAAGCCAUCCAAGUGCCUUCCUUUUGCCUUAAUAUGUUCACGGCAGCAAAGCCUGCUUCAAAAUGAGAUGCGAAACUUCCUAGCUGACAACGCCAGCUGUGUACAAAUGCUUGGGUAUUUCCCCACGUAAGGGAAAACUGCACUGUUCAUUGAGGCGCUGCAUACCCUCAAUACUGAUAUUCUAGGAAGGAACAAGGUGCGCCUGAAGCAGAGAGGCUGCAUUCACACAGGGGCAACACCCAUUACACUUGACGAGUGUGAAAGAAAUAUUCUGUGACGGACCCUAGGGUCGUCAGCCUCCCGGUGGGGGAAGCGACCUUGUGACCGGCUCAGGAACACUGCUGAGAACUGUGCGUGAAGUCACUCAGCGCUCUUCUCACGGUUCUGAUUUCAAACAGUUGAUGCUCUAGUUUCUAUUUUCUUCUAGAACAGCCUGUUUGUUAGCCCAGAGAGAUGGCAUCAGAACACUUUGAUUCUUGGUUUUCCAGUGAUUCAUACUGUCCUCCAGGUUUAUAGGCUAUUUGUUCCAUCAUUUAUUCAUCUCCUUUUAGGGUCUUGGAACUGGGGGCGGUGCCAGGCAGACAGAGAUAAAUAAAACAAUUUGACUACAUCCUAAUAAGACCCAGUUCAGAUUUCUGAACGCCAAAAAUGUAAGACAAUAAUUUUGUGUUGUUUUAAGCCACUAAAUUUGUGGUCGUGUGUUAUAGCAGCCAUAGGAAAUGAAUCCACCCUCCUUUUCCUGUAAAACUUGCCUUUCUGAAUACUUCAGCACAUUUAGCCAAUCAGGCAUUUUUGCUGGAAAUUGACACUUUUAAUCAGUUUUGUCCUAACUUUGAUUUGAACAUGUAGCAGUUUAAUUACCCUCUUGAAUAUGUGAGUCAUAUCAUUGUCAUAUCUACUGAGAUCUGAAGAAAAGCCAUCUAGCAAUAUUAAUUAUGUGAGAGGAUGGCAUUUCUUUCUCUUAUUUGAAUUAUGUCUCAUCAAUUGGAUUAUCUUGCUUGUGUAAUUAC